rnacentral:rRNA from 1 species
GAUGAACGCUGGCGGCGUGCCUAAUACAUGCCAGUCGAGCGAACAGACGAGGAGCUUGCUCCUCUGACGUUAGCGGCGGACGGGUGAGUAACACGUGGAUAACCUACCUAUAAGACUGGGAUAACUUCGGGAAACCGGAGCUAAUACCGGAUAAUAUAUUGAACCGCAUGGUUCAAUAGUGAAAGACGGUUUUGCUGUCACUUAUAGAUGGAUCCGCGCCGCAUUAGCUAGUUGGUAAGGUAACGGCUUACCAAGGCGACGAUGCGUAGCCGCCCUGAGAGGGUGAUAGGCCACACUGGAACUGAGACAGGGUCCAGACUCCUACGGGAGGCAGCAGUAGGGAAUCUUCCGCAAUGGGCGAAAGCCUGACGGAGCAACGCCGAGUGAGUGAUGAAGGUCUUCGGAUCGUAAAACUCUGUUAUUAGGGAAGAACAAAUGUGUAAGUAACUAUGCACGUCUUGACGGUACCUAAUCAGAAAGCCACGGCUAACUACGUG